UACGUAGGGAGCAAGCGUUAUCCGGAUUUACUGGGUGUAAAGGGCGCGUAGGCGGGAUGGCAAGUCAGAUGUGAAAUCCAGGGGCUCAACCCCUGAACUGCAUUUGAAACUGUCGUUCUUGAGUACUGGAGAGGUUGACGGAAUUCCUAGUGUAGCGGUGAAAUGCGUAGAUAUUAGGAGGAACACCAGUGGCGAAGGCGGUCAACUGGACAGCAACUGACGCUGAGGUGCGAAAGCGUGGGGAGCAAACAGG
rnacentral:rRNA from 1 species